GAUGAACGCUAGCUACAGGCUUAACACAUGCAAGUCGAGGGGAAACGACAUCGAAAGCUUGCUUUUGAUGGGCGUCGACCGGCGCACGGGUGAGUAACGCGUAUCCAACCUGCCCAACACUUGGGGAUAACCUUGCGAAAGUAAGACUAAUACCCAAUGAUAUCUCUAGAAGACAUCUGAAAGAGAUUAAAGAUUUAUCGGUGAUGGAUGGGGAUGCGUCUGAUUAGCUUGUUGGCGGGGUAACGGCCCACCAAGGCAACGAUCAGUAGGGGUUCUGAGAGGAAGGUCCCCCACAUUGGAACUGAGACACGGUCCAAACUCCUACGGGAGGCAGCAGUGAGGAAUAUUGGUCAAUGGGCGAGAGCCUGAACCAGCCAAGUAGCGUGCAGGAAGACGGCCCUAUGGGUUGUAAACUGCUUUUAUAAGGGAAUAAAGUGAGAGUCGUGACUCUUUUUGUAUGUACCUUAUGAAUAAGGACCGGCUAAUUCCGUG
rnacentral:rRNA from 1 species